UUUCCGUAGGUGAACCUGCGGAAGGAUCAUUAAAGAGUUUGGUACCUUCGGGUACUAUCUCCCACCAAUUGUGAACCAAUUUCGUUGCCUCGACAUCCGAUGUGUACCCGUAAGGUGUACCCAUCCUUCGGUUGCUUUGCACCUGAAGAGUGAUGUCAGAGGAUUUUUAAACAUCUUUUAAUCAAGUCUUCUGAGUUAAAAUCAAUAAAAACAAAACUUUCAACAACGGAUCUCUUGGUUCUGGCAUCGAUGAAGAACGCAGC
rnacentral:misc_RNA from 1 species